GGGUUGUGAGGUUAAGCGACUAAGCGUACACGGUGGAUGCCCUGGCAGUCAGAGGCGAUGAAGGACGUGCUAAUCUGCGAUAAGCGUCGGUAAGGUGAUAUGAACCGUUAUAACCGGCGAUUUCCGAAUGGGGAAACCCAGUGUGAUUCGUCACACUAUCAUUAACUGAAUCCAUAGGUUAAUGAGGCGAACCGGGGGAACUGAAACAUCUAAGUACCCCGAGGAAAAGAAAUCAACCGAGAUUCCCCCAGUAGCGGCGAGCGAACGGGGAGCAGCCCAGAGCCUGAAUCAGUGUGUGUGUUAGUGGAAGCGUCUGGAAAGGCGCGCGAUACAGGGUGACAGCCCCGUACACAAAAAUGCACAUACUGUGAGCUCGAUGAGUAGGGCGGGACACGUGGUAUCCUGUCUGAAUAUGGGGGGACCAUCCUCCAAGGCUAAAUACUCCUGACUGACCGAUAGUGAACCAGUACCGUGAGGGAAAGGCGAAAAGAACCCCGGCGAGGGGAGUGAAAAAGAACCUGAAACCGUGUACGUACAAGCAGUGGGAGCACGCUUAGGCGUGUGACUGCGUACCUUUUGUAUAAUGGGUCAGCGACUUAUAUUCUGUAGCAAGGUUAACCGAAUAGGGGAGCCGAAGGGAAACCGAGUCUUAACUGGGCGUUAAGUUGCAGGGUAUAGACCCGAAACCCGGUGAUCUAGCCAUGGGCAGGUUGAAGGUUGGGUAACACUAACUGGAGGACCGAACCGACUAAUGUUGAAAAAUUAGCGGAUGACUUGUGGCUGGGGGUGAAAGGCCAAUCAAACCGGGAGAUAGCUGGUUCUCCCCGAAAGCUAUUUAGGUAGCGCCUCGUGAAUUCAUCUCCGGGGGUAGAGCACUGUUUCGGCAAGGGGGUCAUCCCGACUUACCAACCCGAUGCAAACUGCGAAUACCGGAGAAUGUUAUCACGGGAGACACACGGCGGGUGCUAACGUCCGUCGUGAAGAGGGAAACAACCCAGACCGCCAGCUAAGGUCCCAAAGUCAUGGUUAAGUGGGAAACGAUGUGGGAAGGCCCAGACAGCCAGGAUGUUGGCUUAGAAGCAGCCAUCAUUUAAAGAAAGCGUAAUAGCUCACUGGUCGAGUCGGCCUGCGCGGAAGAUGUAACGGGGCUAAACCAUGCACCGAAGCUGCGGCAGCGACGCUGAUGCGUUGUUGGGUAGGGGAGCGUUCUGUAAGCCUGCGAAGGUGUGCUGUGAGGCAUGCUGGAGGUAUCAGAAGUGCGAAUGCUGACAUAAGUAACGAUAAAGCGGGUGAAAAGCCCGCUCGCCGGAAGACCAAGGGUUCCUGUCCAACGUUAAUCGGGGCAGGGUGAGUCGACCCCUAAGGCGAGGCCGAAAGGCGUAGUCGAUGGGAAACAGGUUAAUAUUCCUGUACUUGGUGUUACUGCGAAGGGGGGACGGAGAAGGCUAUGUUGGCCGGGCGACGGUUGUCCCGGUUUAAGCGUGUAGGCUGGUUUUCCAGGCAAAUCCGGAAAAUCAAGGCUGAGGCGUGAUGACGAGGCACUACGGUGCUGAAGCAACAAAUGCCCUGCUUCCAGGAAAAGCCUCUAAGCAUCAGGUAACAUCAAAUCGUACCCCAAACCGACACAGGUGGUCAGGUAGAGAAUACCAAGGCGCUUGAGAGAACUCGGGUGAAGGAACUAGGCAAAAUGGUGCCGUAACUUCGGGAGAAGGCACGCUGAUAUGUAGGUGAAGUCCCUCGCGGAUGGAGCUGAAAUCAGUCGAAGAUACCAGCUGGCUGCAACUGUUUAUUAAAAACACAGCACUGUGCAAACACGAAAGUGGACGUAUACGGUGUGACGCCUGCCCGGUGCCGGAAGGUUAAUUGAUGGGGUCAGCGCAAGCGAAGCUCUUGAUCGAAGCCCCGGUAAACGGCGGCCGUAACUAUAACGGUCCUAAGGUAGCGAAAUUCCUUGUCGGGUAAGUUCCGACCUGCACGAAUGGCGUAAUGAUGGCCAGGCUGUCUCCACCCGAGACUCAGUGAAAUUGAACUCGCUGUGAAGAUGCAGUGUACCCGCGGCAAGACGGAAAGACCCCGUGAACCUUUACUAUAGCUUGACACUGAACAUUGAGCCUUGAUGUGUAGGAUAGGUGGGAGGCUUUGAAGUGUGGACGCCAGUCUGCAUGGAGCCGACCUUGAAAUACCACCCUUUAAUGUUUGAUGUUCUAACGUUGACCCGUAAUCCGGGUUGCGGACAGUGUCUGGUGGGUAGUUUGACUGGGGCGGUCUCCUCCUAAAGAGUAACGGAGGAGCACGAAGGUUGGCUAAUCCUGGUCGGACAUCAGGAGGUUAGUGCAAUGGCAUAAGCCAGCUUGACUGCGAGCGUGACGGCGCGAGCAGGUGCGAAAGCAGGUCAUAGUGAUCCGGUGGUUCUGAAUGGAAGGGCCAUCGCUCAACGGAUAAAAGGUACUCCGGGGAUAACAGGCUGAUACCGCCCAAGAGUUCAUAUCGACGGCGGUGUUUGGCACCUCGAUGUCGGCUCAUCACAUCCUGGGGCUGAAGUAGGUCCCAAGGGUAUGGCUGUUCGCCAUUUAAAGUGGUACGCGAGCUGGGUUUAGAACGUCGUGAGACAGUUCGGUCCCUAUCUGCCGUGGGCGCUGGAGAACUGAGGGGGGCUGCUCCUAGUACGAGAGGACCGGAGUGGACGCAUCACUGGUGUUCGGGUUGUCAUGCCAAUGGCACUGCCCGGUAGCUAAAUGCGGAAGAGAUAAGUGCUGAAAGCAUCUAAGCACGAAACUUGCCCCGAGAUGAGUUCUCCCUGACCCUUUAAGGGUCCUGAAGGAACGUUGAAGACGACGACGUUGAUAGGCCGGGUGUGUAAGCGCAGCGAUGCGUUGAGCUAACCGGUACUAAUGAACCGUGAGGCUUAACCUUACAACGCCGAAGGUGUUU
rnacentral:rRNA from 1 species